rnacentral:rRNA from 1 species
ACAAUGAAGAGUUUGAUCCUGGCUCAGGAUGAACGCUAGCUACAGGCUUAACACAUGCAAGUCGAGGGGCAGCAUUUCAGUUUGCUUGCAAACUGGAGAUGGCGACCGGCGCACGGGUGAGUAACACGUAUCCAACCUGCCGAUAACUCGGGGAUAGCCUUUCGAAAGAAAGAUUAAUACCCGAUGGCAUAAUUAGACCGCAUGGUCUUAUUAUUAAAGAAUUUCGGUUAUCGAUGGGGAUGCGUUCCAUUAGGCAGUUGGUGAGGUAACGGCUCACCAAACCUUCGAUGGAUAGGGGUUCUGAGAGGAAGGUCCCCCACAUUGGAACUGAGACACGGUCCAAACUCCUACGGGAGGCAGCAGUGAGGAAUAUUGGUCAAUGGGCGCAGGCCUGAACCAGCCAAGUAGCGUGAAGGAUGACUGCCCUAUGGGUUGUAAACUUCUUUUAUAUGGGAAUAAAGUUUUCCACGUGUGGAAUUUUGUAUGUACCAUAUGAAUAAGGAUCGGCUAACUCCGUGCCAGCAGCCGCGGUAAUACGGAGGAUCCGAGCGUUAUCCGGAUUUAUUGGGUUUAAAAGGGAGCGUAGGUGGACAGUUAAGUCAGUUGUGAAAGUUUGCGGCUCAACCGUAAAAUUGCAGUUGAUACUGGCUGUCUUGAGUACAGUAGAGGUGGGCGGAAUUCGUGGUGUAGCGGUGAAAUGCUUAGAUAUCACGAAGAACUCCGAUUGCGAAGGCAGCUCACUGGACUGCAACUGACACUGAUGCUCGAAAGUGUGGGUAUCAAACAGGAUUAGAUACCCUGGUAGUCCACACAGUAAACGAUGAAUACUCGCUGUUUGCGAUAUACAGUAAGCGGCCAAGCGAAAGCAUUAAGUAUUCCACCUGGGGAGUACGCCGGCAACGGUGAAACUCAAAGGAAUUGACGGGGCCCGCACAAGCGGAGGAACAUGUGGUUUAAUUCGAUGAUACGCGAGAAACCUUACCCGGGCUUAAAUUGCAUUUGAAUAUAUUGGAAACAGUAUAGCCGUAAGGCAAAUGUGAAGGUGCUGCAUGGUUGUCGUCAGCUCGUGCCGUGAGGUGUCGGCUUAAGUGCCAUAACGAGCGCAACCCUUAUCUUUAGUUACUAACAGGUCAUGCUGAGGACUCUAGAGAGACUGCCGUCGUAAGAUGUGAGGAAGGUGGGGAUGACGUCAAAUCAGCACGGCCCUUACGUCCGGGGCUACACACGUGUUACAAUGGGGGUACAGAAGGCAGCUACCUGGUGACAGGAUGCUAAUCCCAAAAGCCUCUCUCAGUUCGGAUCGAAGUCUGCAACCCGACUUCGUGAAGCUGGAUUCGCUAGUAAUCGCGCAUCAGCCAUGGCGCGGUGAAUACGUUCCCGGGCCUUGUACACACCGCCCGUCAAGCCAUGAAAGCCGGGGAUUGCCGAAGUACGUAACCGCAAGGAGCGUCCUAGGGUAAAACUGGUAAUUGGGGCUAAGUCGUAACAAGGUAGCCGUACCGGAAGGUGCGGCUGGAACACCUCCUUU